rnacentral:rRNA from 1 species
CAAACGGAGAGUUUGAUCCUGGCUCAGGAUGAACGCUGGCGGCGUGCCUAACACAUGCAAGUCGAACGAACGUAGCAAUACGUUAGUG